GUCUAUGGCCAUGCACCCUGAACAAGCCCAAUCCUGUCUGAUCUCGGAAGUUAAGCAGGGUCAGGCCUGGUUAGUACUUGAAUGGGAGACCACCUAGAAAGAUCAGCUGCUGUAGGCA
rnacentral:rRNA from 1 species